GUCGAUCUGCUCCAUGAAGUAAAAUUUAAAUAGCUGCAGUAUAUUGACUGUACAAAGGUAGCAUAAUAAAUUGUCUUUUAAUUGAAGAAUUGAAUGAACGAAUUGAUGAAAUAACAACUGUCUCUAUUUUAUUGAAUGAAUUUAAAUUUUUAGUUAAAAUGCUAAAAUUUAAUUAUGGGACGAUAAGACCCUAUAGAAUUUUAUUUAAAUAAUUAUUUAUUUAAAUUAUUUGUAAAUAAAUAAUUAAUUUAAAUUUGAUUGGGAGGAUUGGUAAAUAUAAAUAACUUUAUCUUAUAAAUAAUUUUGAUUAAAAAAUAUUUUUUGACCUAUAAAUUAUAAUUAAAAGAAUAAAUUACCUUAGGGAUAACAGCGUAAUAUCUUUUGAUAGACCAUAUUGAUAAAGAUGAUUGCGACCUCGAUGUUGAAUUAAGAUAAAAAUUAGACGCAGAAGUUUAAAAAUUUAAGUCUG
rnacentral:rRNA from 1 species